AACACAACACAAACAACAUAAAUAAUAGCAGCAUGAGAUUAUUUACAAUGUUCACUCUGUUGUGCCACAAAUUACGUACAGACAAACAUUCAAAGAGUAGAAACAAAAUAAAAGUAAUAAGAUAGUAUGAUCAAAAUAGGUACAUGUGUAUAUAGCAAGUGGGCUUGACAAUUUAACCCAUAAAAUUCCUAAUCUCAUUAUUUGAUGAUGGAAUAAAGUUUAUUUAACAAAUUAUAACAAAGUUGAUUUUUCCAAACCAACCCAAUUUCCAAUAUCGUGCGUAACAUACAUGAAUAUGAAAUUCUCCUCUCACUCUUCCCUCUUCACCUAUGAUAUCACAGUUAUGGAAAAAAGAUCAAAACAAGUCCGCUUUUUAAUUAAAAAAUUUAGCAUGUUCAGUCUAUACUUUCUAUAUUAUUUCAAUCAUCACAAACAAAAAAACAAUGCAGACCAACACUUAUUUACAUCUUACGGUAUGAACCAAACAACUGAGUUAAUAAGCAAAUCGGGUGAAAUCGAUAAAAGAUUGAGAAAUCAGACACUAUUAGAGUCAUAUGCAAAUGGAGUGCAAAAAGGAGAGGAAAUGAAAAUAACUACAGUUUUAAAUUGUUACUCAAACUGUAAUAUCCACCAUAUGUCGAAUUUGUAUACCAUCUUGAAUUUGAACACUAACUUUUGUUAGCCGAACAACACAGACAAAACAUAAUAUGACAUUUGCCUAAACCAGAAUGUUACCCAAAGUUAUUAUUGACACGGCAGCGAUUUGAGUGCGGGUACAAAGGAUUUUCCGUCGUUCAUGAAAGUAACCGCAAUAUUUUGCAAUUCGGGACAGACAAGGGAGCCACCGAGUAUGCUUCUUCCAAAAAUGUUAAUCUGUUAUUUUCCUUCGUCAAUAGAUUCCUCCAAUCCACGGUCCGGCGACGGAAAUGAAAGCUUAAAGGGCAGUCAGAUCUUGGACUGGAGGCGAGGAUUUUUUGUCGGAGAUGAAAAAUGAGGUUUUGUUUGCCGAUGAGGAGUGAGGUGACGUGCGAAGGCGACGGCGCAGCCGAGAGACUUCGCGGCGGAGAAGGUUUUGGCGACGGUGGUUGUGAAGUGGGCUAAGGAUGAUGGCGGCGGAUUUAAGGUUUAAGAUGAUAGGUGGUUAGGGCGAGUGAGAUCGAUGGUGUGGAGAUGGAGGAAGUUGUGAUGGUCGAGGUGAGGGCGGAGAUGGAGGUUUCUGGUGGAGGAAAGGUUGGAUGCAGAGUGUCCGAAGGAGAAGGUUGGUGCGGAGGUGGAGCGGAAGUUUCGUCGGAAUGAAGAAGGUGGUUGUGUGGUUGUGUUCGCCGGCGAGGGAGGAGGCGAAUCGGAGAAGGCGGUGGUGAGAAGAUUGUGAACAGUGGUCGUGGCGGAGAUGUUUGGUGGCGGUUUUGUGGUGUUGUGGUGGCGGUGGUGUGAUUGAGGAAGAUGGAGAGGAUGAGUUAGUGUGAGGUGUGAGGUGAGAGCCCAGAGAAUUUGUAACGUGGCCCCCUA
rnacentral:lncRNA from 1 species